GGUCAGCGGGCGUAGCUCAUCUAUGUAGUAGCCAUCGAAAGCAUCUGUUUUGUCUCCAUGCCGUUGGAGACUUCCGGAUAGUAAGCGAAGGGACCAGGACCGCAUGCCUCUGCUUGCCGCUGAGUCCCCCACGCCACCGCACCCACGCCGAGCAAUCCAUGCCCAUCCCGGCCUCUUCUUGAUUUUCAUCCCUACCCGCCUCUGGCUCGCUCUUCUCAAUUCCUGCCGCAUGUCCAUCGUGUCGUCGUUGCGCGGGCGCAGGGCCAAGCGCCGCCAAAAGGCAUCAAUAGAGAAUAAGGCGACCGUGGGCGCAAGGGGUAAGCAGGUAUGACAUCCACGCUCAUCCUUUCUUUUUUUUCUUAGUUUGCUGCUAUUGUUCUACUAGAUCCGGAUAUGAUUAUGUCUUUGAAUUAUCACCAUCCGCUUGCAUCCCCCGUAUUUUGAUUCAUGUUCAUUGGACCGACCUGCGAUCUAUUUUUUUCCUCUUUAUUUCUUAGUUUGCUGCUAUUGUUCUGUUAUAUUAGGAUAUGAUUAGGUGUUGGAAUAACCAGCAUAUACACAUGCAACCCCUCGCAGUUCAGUUCGUGUUCGUUUGAUGAGCCUCAGCUACCUGUUGCUUGGACUUCAUUGUUCAGAUUGCACAAAUCAGCACCUAACCCGCUAAUGUUCAGUUACAUUUAGGCGUAUUUUAAGCUCGAGACUUUGAAGCAAGACCUUAAAUUUGAGUCUGAAAAUUCUCAAACUAAUCUAGCUUCAACUAAUCUGCAUUCCUAACUAGAAGCUCCCUCCGACCCUAGACGAGGGGAAGCAAGCUACAUAAAGAACAGAUCCGACCUUCAAGUGUUUAUUUCAACCUCAAUCAGGCCUUGAAAUUUGAAUACGUAAGGAUCUUCUGCUAAACCAUUUUACUGCUAGCAAGACCACAAAUUGUGAAUUUCAUUCAGAACAGGUAUGUUUUUCCAAGAAAACAAAAUUGUUACCUAUCUAUUUCUAUAGUCAUGAGAUAAUAACUUUGGAUACCAUUAAUCAGGACAAUAUUGGUUAUAUUUGCAUAAACAUCAUGCAUAUUAUCUUCCAUGUAUAGCUCGACAUGAUGUCCCUUCAUACAUACUUAUGUACCAAUGCAUCAUUCUUCUAGCUUCAACUAAUCUGUAUUCCUAACUAGAAGCUCCCUCCGACCCUAGACGAGGGGAAGCAAGCUACAUAAGGAAUAGAUCCGGCCUUCAAGUGUUUAUUUCAACUUCAAUCAGGCCUUGAAAUUUGAACGUGUAAGGAUCUGCUGCUAAACCAUUUUACUGCUAGCAAGACCACAAAUUGUGAAUGUCAUUUAGAACAGAAGGUGCAUUGUGCAUUCUAACAGUUUGCAACUUUCAUUCAGAACAGGAGGCUUCAGCUUCGGAAUAGAGAUAUUCUUCUGUGACAAGAGUAGAGGUGUAACUUGAAGGUGACAAAAAUGGGCGACGAAGCUAUAAUCAAGGGACUUUGGCUCAGGUUGAUGACGAAGACCAAAUACAACAGUGACCAAAAAAGGAUAAAGACUAUUUAGUCCUUAAUGUUUCGUAUUAUAAUUGAAGACGGAUGACAAGGACAUAAAUGUACUUUUACUCGGGCUA